rnacentral:lncRNA from 10 species
UAAUUUUACUUCAUUGGAUGUUGUAAAUUGCUCUGGUUUAGCCUUUAGACAUUUGAAUCAAAAUGGUCAAAUUAGUCUCUAAAUUCAGACAUUGACUUUGUUCUGCAGAUCUCAAAACGAAAGAUAUGUUGGGAUAUUUAGACCAGAAUGCAUGUGAAAAUACUACAUGAAUGAAUGUAUUUGACACUGAUCUUGAGAUGACAAUCUACAGUCCUACAAUAAUUAUUCUAACUCCAUGUUCUCUUUCGUGCACACUAGCUAGAGCACAUCUCACCCACUGACAUUGGAAUCUAUCCUUUCGUAAGUUAUUUUUAACGUCUUAGGAUGACUUUUAUAAAUUGAAGAUUUAAGAGUUUCUAAGGGGACUGUAGGUAUAUUCUACUGUUGUGUUUACCACAUGUUCCAUUCAGAUACACAAAAGAAAUGAAUAAAACUGGACAUAGCACACAGUCUCACUGCUUUGAUGGGCAAUGAUUUUUGACAAUGGGUAAUUAACUCUUACAUCAUUAAGUUCCAUCGUCACAGAAUAACCUUAGAAUCCUAAUAAAAUCCCACGGCUUCAAAUUGUAUUUAAUAGCUGCCAAUCCAAGCCUCCUGACUAUGCUAAUCUAUUAUUUAGAAUAAAUGAAAAGUGUGUAUCAAUUUGCCUAUUAUAAUACAAAGUGGGAACUCUCAUGCCAACAAGGUUAGGCCAGAAAAAUUCAAAUAAAUUGGAGAUGUGUUUUGAUACAUUUUCUUCCGUUGCUCUUAUUGUAUCUGACAUGGAAAUUUCCUUAGGGUGAAGUUUAUAUAGUGACAAGCAUAUACAAUAUUCUUGAGGUAUUAGGCCACAGUCAGAAAAAGAGAAUAUAGGAGGAAUUAUGUGGUAGAGGA